rnacentral:tRNA from 1 species
GGUGAGGUGGCCGAGAGGCUGAAGGCGCUCCCCUGCUAAGGGAAUAUGCGGUCAAAAGCUGCAUCCGGGGUUCGAAUCCCCGCCUCACCGCCA